rnacentral:rRNA from 1 species
UACAGGGGGUGCAAACGUUGCUCGGAAUCAUUGGGCGUAAAGCGCACGUAGGCGGUUCGUUAUGUCGGAUGUGAAAGCCCUUGGCUUAACCGAGGAAGUGCAUCCGAAAACUGGCGAGCUAGAGUACGGAAAGAGGAUCGCGGAAUUCCCGGUGUAGAGGUGAAAUUCGUAGAUAUCGGGAGGAACACCGGUGGCGAAGGCGGCGAUCUGGGUCGAUACUGACGCUGAGGUGCGAAAGCGUGGGGAGCAAACAGG